UACGCUGGCGGCGUGCCUGACACAUGCAAGUCGAACGGGUGCUAAUUGCCCGCAAGGGUGAUUAGCGCUAGUGGCGGACGGGUGAGUAACACGUGGGCAACCUGCCUGAGAGUGCGGAAUAACCCUGCGAAAGCAGAGCUAAUACUGCAUGUGGUUGUCGGAUGGCAUCAUCUGACAACUAAAGUCGCAAGACGCUCUCAGAUGGGCCCGCGGCCUAUUAGCUAGUUGGUGAGGUGACGGCCCACCAAGGCGAUGAUGGGUAGCUGGUCUGAGAGGACGGACAGCCACACUGGGACUGAGACACGGCCCAGACUCCUACGGGAGGCAGCAGUGAGGAAUUUUCCGCAAUGGGCGAAAGCCUGACGGAGCAACGCCGCGUGAGGGAUGAAGUCUCUAGGGAUGUAAACCUCUGUUGGGUGGGACGAAGAUCUGACGGUACCACCUGAGGAAGCCCCGGCUAACUACGUGCCAGCAGCCGCGGUAAUACGUAGGGGGCGAGCGUUAUCCGGAUUUACUGGGUGUAAAGAGCGCG
rnacentral:rRNA from 1 species